GAGUUUGAUCUUGGCUCAGAUUGAACGCUGGCGGCAUGCCUAACACAUGCAAGUCGAACGGAAACAGCACGAAGCUUGCUUUGAGCUGUUUUAGUGGCGGACGGGUGAGUAACGCGUGAGUAACCUGCCUUUCAGAGGGGGAUAACGUCUGGAAACGGACGCUAAUACCGCAUGAUAUAUUUUGGUCGCAUGGCCGGGAUAUCAAAGGAGCAAUCCGCUGAAAGAUGGACUCGCGUCCGAUUAGCUAGUUGGUGAGAUAAAGGCCCACCAAGGCGACGAUCGGUAGCCGGACUGAGAGGUUGAACGGCCACAUUGGGACUGAGACACGGCCCAGACUCCUACGGGAGGCAGCAGUGGGGGAUAUUGCACAAUGGAGGAAACUCUGAUGCAGCAACGCCGCGUGAGGGAAGACGGUUUUCGGAUUGUAAACCUCUGUCCUUGGUGACGAAAAAAAUGACGGUAGCCAAGGAGGAAGCUCCGGCUAACUACGUGCCAGCAGCCGCCGCAGUAAG
rnacentral:rRNA from 1 species